rnacentral:rRNA from 1 species
CGCAAUCGCCCUUCGGGGUGCAGCAGGCGCGAAAACUUUACAAUGCCGGCAACGGCGAUAAGGGAACCUCGAGUGCCAGGUUACAAAUCUGGCUGUCGUGAUGCCUAAAAAGCAUUGCAUAGCAAGGGCCGGGCAAGACCGGUGCCAGCCGCCGCGGUAACACCGGCGGCUCGAGUGGUAACCGUUAUUAUUGGGUCUAAAGGGUCUGUAGCCGGCCGGGUAAGUCUCUUGGGAAAUCUGGCAGCUUAACUGUCAGGCUUUCAGGAGAUACUGCCUGGCUCGAGGCCGGGAGAGGUGAGAGGUACUUCAGGGGUAGGGGUGAAAUCUUGUAAUCCUUGAAGGACCACCAGUGGCGAAGGCGUCUCACCAGAACGGACCUGACGGCAAGGGACGAAAGCUAGGGGCACGAACCGGAUUAGAUACCCGGGUAGUCCUAGCCGUAAACGAUACUCGCUAGGUGUCGGCCACGGUGCGACCGUGGUCGGUGCCGUAGGGAAGCCGUGAAGCGAGCCACCUGGGAAGUACGGCCGCAAGGCUGAAACUUAAAGGAAUUGGCGGGGGAGCAC